rnacentral:rRNA from 1 species
UACAGAGACUGCGAGCGUUAUUCGGAUUCACUGGGCGUAAAGGGUGCGCAGGCGGCCAAGUGUGUGAGGCGUGAAAGCCCGGGGCUUAACCCCGGAAUUGCACCUCAAACUACAUGGCUAGAGCAUUGGAGAGGGUAGCAGAAUUCACGGUGUAGCAGUGAAAUGCGUAGAUAUCGUGAGGAAUACCAGAGGCGAAGGCGGCUACCUGGACAAUUGCUGACGCUCAGGCACGAAAGCGUGGGGAGCAAAAAGGG